rnacentral:rRNA from 1 species
GGAUCCAACUUUGAUUAUGGCUCAGGAUGAACGCUAGCUACAGGCUUAACACAUGCAAGUCGAGGGGAAACGACAUCGAAAGCUUGCUUUUGAUGGGCGUCGACCGGCGCACGGGUGAGUAACGCGUAUCCAACCUGCCCAUCACUUGGGCAUAACCUUGCGAAAGUAAGACUAAUACCCAAUGAUAUCCCAAGAAGACAUCUGAAUGAGAUUAAAGAUUUAUCGGUGAUGGAUGGGGAUGCGUCUGAUUAGCUUGUUGGCGGGGUAACGGCCCACCAGGGCGACGAUCAGUAGGGGUUCUGAGAGGAAGGUCCCCCACAUUGGAACUGAGACACGGUCCAAACUCCUACGGGAGGCAGCAGUGAGGAAUAUUGGUCAAUGGACGAGAGUCUGAUCCAGCCAAGUAGCGUGCGGGAUGACGGCCCUAUGGGUUGUAAACUGCUUUUAUAAGGGAAUAAAGUGAGCCUCGUGAGGCUUUUUGCAUGUACCUUAUGAAUAAGGACCGGCUAAUUCCGUGCCAGCAGCCGCGGUAAUACGGAAGGUCCGGGCGUUAUCCGGAUUUAUUGGGUUUAAAGGGAGCGUAGGCCGGAGAUUAAGCGUGUUGUGAAAUGUAGAUGCUCAACAUCUGCACUGCAGCGCGAACUGGUUUCCUUGAGUACGCACAAAGUGGGCGGAAUUCGUGGUGUAGCGGUGAAAUGCUUAGAUAUCACGAAGAACUCCGAUUGCGAAGGCAGCUCACUGGAGCGCAACUGACGCUGAAGCUCGAAAGUGCGGGUAUCGAACAGGAUUAGAUACCCUGGUAGUCCGCACGGUAAACGAUGGAUGCCCGCUGUUGGUCUGAAUAGGUCAGCGGCCAAGCGAAAGCAUUAAGCAUCCCACCUGGGGAGUACGCCGGCAACGGUGCAACUCAAAGGAAUUGACGG